rnacentral:rRNA from 1 species
CCCUUAGAUGUUCUGGGCCGCACGCGCGCUACACUGACGGAGGCAGCGAGCAUGUCCUUCGCCGAGAGGUGUGGGGAAUCUUGUGAGUCUCCGUCGUGCUGGGGAUAGAUGGUUGCAAUUGUCGAUCUUGAACGAGGAAUUUCUAGUAAGCGCGAGUCAUCAGCUCGCGCUGAUUACGUCCCUGCCCUUUGUACACACCGCCCGUCGCACCUACCGAUUGGAUGGUCCGGUGAAGCCUCGGGAUUGUGGUUCUUGCCGCUUUAUUGUGGCGUGACCGCGAGAACUUGUCUAAACCUUAUCAUCUAGAGGAAGGUGAAGUCGUAACA